UACGUAGGCAGCAAGCGUUGUUCGGAGUUACUGGGCGUAAAGAGUGUGUAGGCGGUUCUCUAAGUUUGGUGUGAAAUCUCCCGCUUAACUGGGAGGGUGCGCCGAAAACUGGAGGGCUUGAGUAUGGGAGAGGAAAGCGGAAUUCCUGGUGUAGCGGUGAAAUGCGUAGAUAUGGGGAGGAACACCGGUGGCGAAGGCGGCCACCUGGACGGUCACUGACGCUGAGACGCGAAAGCGUGGGUAGCAAACAGG
rnacentral:rRNA from 1 species